rnacentral:rRNA from 1 species
UACGUAGGGUGCGAGCGUUGUCCGGAAUUAUUGGGCGUAAAGGGCUCGUAGGCGGUCUGUCACGUCGGGAGUGAAAACUCGGGGCUCAACCCCGAGCCUGCUUCCGAUACGGGCAGACUAGAGGUAUGCAGGGGAGAAUGGAAUUCCUGGUGUAGCGGUGAAAUGCGCAGAUAUCAGGAGGAACACCGAUGGCGAAGGCAGGUCUCUGGGCCGCAACUGACGCUGAGGAGCGAAAGCAUGGGGAGCGAACAGG